rnacentral:tRNA from 1 species
GCCGAAGUGGUGGAAUUUGGCAGACACACCAUCUUGAGGGGGUGGCGCCCAAAAGGCAUGCGGGUUCGAAUCCCGCCUUCGGCACCA